CACGUAGGGCGCGAGCGUUGUCCGGAAUUAUUGGGCGUAAAGAGCUCGUAGGCGGCCUGUUGCGUCCGCUGUGAAAGCCCGGGGCUUAACCCCGGGUCGGCAGUGGAUACGGGCAGGCUAGAGGUAGGUAGGGGAGAAUGGAAUUCCCGGUGUAGCGGUGAAAUGCGCAGAUAUCAGGAGGAACACCGGUGGCGAAGGCGGGUCUCUGGGCCGAUACUGACGCUGAGGAGCGAAAGCGUGGGGAGCGAACAGG
rnacentral:rRNA from 1 species